rnacentral:tRNA from 1 species
GGGGAUUUAGCUCAGUGGUAGAGCGCUUGCCUAUCAGGCACAAGGCCCUGGGUUCGGUCCCCAGCUCCG